rnacentral:rRNA from 1 species
GACGAACGCUGGCGGCGUGCCUAAUACAUGCAAGUAGAACGCUGAAGGAGGAGCUUGCUUCUCUGGAUGAGUUGCGAACGGGUGAGUAACGCGUAGGUAACCUGCCUGGUAGCGGGGGAUAACUAUUGGAAACGAUAGCUAAUACCGCAUAAUAUUGACUAUUGCAUGAUAGUCAGUUGAAAGGUGCAACUGCACCACUACCAGAUGGACCUGCGUUGUAUUAGCUAGUUGGUGGGGUAACGGCUCACCAAGGCGACGAUACAUAGCCGACCUGAGAGGGGGAUCGGCCACACUGGGAGUGUGACAGGGCCCAGACUCCUACGGGAGGCAGCAGUAGGGAAUCUUCGGCAAUGGACGGAAGACUGACCGAGCAACGCCGCGUGAGUGAAGAAGGUUUUCGGAUCGUAAAGGUCGGUUGUAAGAGAAGAACGAGUGUGAGAGUGGAAAGCUCACACUGUGACGGUAUCUUACCAGAAAGGGACGGCUAACUACGUG